GAAAAUUGUAUGACCGAUCAAGCGUACCAACUUAAAAACAAUGAUAGUUUGUGUAAUGUCACCGAUAGAACACCUUUUGGCGAAGAUAUAUGUUAUCUGUGGUUAAAUUAUUUUCUCUAAUCUAUGUCAUGCUUACCGCUAAUCCGCUUGUUCGCGAAAAAAUGGCAGAUCCGUUUUUGUUUUCUUUAGCUCAUUAUUAAUUACAUGAUCUACAACUAGAAUUAUUUAAAUAUUCGCUUUAUUUUAAUCUGCUUAAACAAUACGACAGGCAAUUCUGCGCCGACGCCGGUCAUGAACCGUCCAUAUUCGCCAUUUUGUCAUUUAGCAAACUAAGAAAAUGCAAACAAAACAUUAUUUGCCCUAAACACGCGUUACUCUCAAAUAAUAUUGCCGAAUGCCGACAAAGUGAUCUUGUUUUAUCAAACUGAACUCCGAACUGCAAUUGCAAUGUAAUUUUCCGAUAGCGAAAGUGAGGUUAUGAAAUUGACAUGACAUUUAGUGAAUGCAAUGCAAUGGACAUGUGUUUUGUUGUGUUUCUCAUCAAGAUAAUAGAAGAAUCUAGUGCUCAUACUCAUGAAUUAAUGAGCAAACAGCCCAUGCAAAGGAUGUCUUAACGGGCCAUGUCUCCACUGAUAAAAUUAUUAAGUUACCUACUUCAACGCAGCUUUUCAAGAAAGUUUCAACAUCUAAUUGGAAUUUCUCUGGAAAGUUUACAAUGUCCGAUAUUUCUACACAUCUGCCACAAAUUUAUGGAAAACAAUAUUUAUAGAAACUGAACAUACUUUGGUUAAACGUAUAUGAAAUGGGUAACCAUCCUCGAAGAAUAUCAACCAGCUGUCGGCAAUGUGCAGGUGGACUGAGGAAUUUUCCAGUGUAUCCUUUAUGGACUGUACUCCGUUUUAGCACUAUCCUCAAGUUUUACCCGAGAGGCCAUGCUUCAGGUUGGACCGUCUUCCAUAUAUCUACUGACUUCAUAUAAAUGAAAGUGUACUAAAGGCUCACUGAUCUACACUACCAGCUCAUGCUCAACGUUACUGAACAACAAAGUAAUCCGACAAUCAGACUGGACCCGGUCAUGUUAGGUAAGUUUACAUACUUAAUGCGUACCAC
rnacentral:lncRNA from 1 species